rnacentral:rRNA from 1 species
CAGCCGCCGCGGUAAUACGAAGGGGGCUAGCGUUGUUCGGAAUUACUGGGCGUAAAGGGCGCGUAGGCGGCCAUUCAAGUUAGAUGUGAAAGCCCUGGGCUCAACCUAGGAAUUGCAUUUGAUACUGUUUGGCUUGAGUUCGGGAGAGGUGAGUGGAAUUCCCAGUGUAGAGGUGAAAUUCGUGGAUAUUGGGAAGAACACCAGUGGCGAAGGCGGCUCACUGGACCGACACUGACGCUGAGGCGCGAAAGCGUGGGGAGCAAACGGGAUUAGAUACCCGUGUAGUCCCUGUCUCUUAUAC